UCUGUAGGUAAUCCUGAAUUGUUGUUUUUCCACUGUUUGAUAUGGAUUUAUUUUCCAUUGAUGUAUUGGUUGCUUAUUUUGCCAAUGCCUAGCAUUAGAUUAAUUGGUACACAAAAAAAAUUACCUUUCUCCGGCCUUAAUACCAGAGCUGUACUAUAUGUCAUCUAAUAUUGUUGCAAGAGGGAUGUGUGUUUUUUUCUUUUUCUUACAGAAUUGGUGAAAUAUUUGAGAGUAGAGCUCUUGUUUUUCUUACUAGUUCUAUGCUUGUCUUAUACUUGACAGAGAUAAUUGCAUCCAGUUUGGGACUGAAUUUUUGCAUUGUGCUUAUAGGUGUAUUGUUUUUUCUUUCUUGAAUAUGAAUCCUGUAGUGCAUCGUCUCUUCUACUUGAUUUUUUGGAAUAUGGAUUCAUGGUAUGUCAGUUGUAUGUAUAUGUCCUAUAUCAUGCUUUUAUGAAAUUUGCAUUUUGGGAAUUUACUAGUUAUGUGACUUUAUCUUGUGUUCAGUAGAAAAAACUAUUUGGAUGGAAGCUUAAUGGCAACACAUGGAAGCUUAGACAUUUAUGAUUUACGUGAGAAAUCGCAUUUGGAGUUGAGACCAUUCAUUAAGGCUGUUUGAAAGUUGCAAUGUUUUCUCCAGGUAAUUCUAACUUUACGAUGGAGGUUUAUGGGAUAAAGAAAAAGACUUAAUGAGCAGGAGCUUGAGUUCAAGUGUUAGAAGUUGCAAUCUCUAGAAAACCUGGUACAACUCAUUUUUAAUUUUACAAACUCUAAGAACAACUUAUAUUUACACUUGUUAGUACUUCAAAUGUGACAAAAAUUCAUCAACACUUGCUAUUCUUUACUAUUUUAUUGAUUUUUGCAGUUCAAAGAUAAGACAAAUUCAUGGACAUCCACAAUGAAUGCGCUGUGGGUUGAACUUGUAAAGCUAUAGUUAGAUUAGUGUUAGUAGUUAUUAUUGAAUCGUUACUUAUUACCUAAUAACUUUGUGCUCAUUGUUUUGUAUUUUAGUUAUAAUAGAUAUAUUUGGUUACUAGUCUUGUAUUGAAUUGUGUGUGUAUAUUUUUUUUUUGUGUCAUGCAAAAGAUACAAGGACGUUUUUUUAACGUCCUAAUAGACAUUAGAUAACGUUUUUAUGAGAUACGAGGACGUUUUUCUUGUGUCCUUGUAGACAUUAGAUGACGUUUUUUUG